AAUUUCCUUUUGUUUUUUAUGAGCAAUGUCAGUAAUGAUGUUAACAAAUAAAUCAAACAAUGCAGAGACAAUUCAGUUAUAUCCCCGCAGUAGUGGUCUUGAAAUAAAAUCCUGAGUCCUCUUUGUCUGAGAUCGAGAUAAGACUCCGAGACGAGACUGAGACAAGGCCGGAAAAAAUUGCGGUUGAUUCCAAGACAAAGCCGAGACCUUCAAAAAGUGGUCUUGAGACCGGUCUCAAGACCAAGACCGACCUUGAGUACUUACAACACUGAGUUACCGUGCGUGUUGCCAAAUCAAACAGGCCUAAAAUCUCAAGGAUUCUAACUUUAAGGUCUCAGGAAAUGUUUGCCAAGUAAUACGUAGACCCCGUUUGGUGU